GAGGAGUUUAGCAUCAUGACGUUAGAGCAACAAUGUUCCCCAGUAGCGCGAUAUUGGAGGAAAAGUUUUCGUCGGGCAGAGAUGGAAAUGAAAAUCAGAGAACGUCACGCGAUCAGCGCGAAAGUCGGGGUUCAAAUGUGGUGAUCUGGGAUCAUCCGCGUGGAAGAAAUAUAUUUGUUGUGAGGUUCAAAAAAAAAGAAAAAAA
rnacentral:lncRNA from 1 species